AUGCACACUCUUUGGCGGACGGAGGGAGUAUGAUAUAAAGGCGGAUAAUUUUCUUGUUGUCUUAGGCCGUAAGGCCAGUCAGGUAAUGCAUUAGGUACUACAUGAGCAGCAUCUAUUUUUUCUCAAUGUGAUGCCAAGUUAUCUCGCACCAAAUGUGAUCAAAUCUGAAAAGCUGAUCUCUGGCCCGAGUAUGAUUUUGUUUCUCCAAGUACUUGCAGAAAGGAUAAGCCUAUUCCCUGAAUGUUGUGACAUAUAACAGUCAGUUGUGCUUGAUGUGGAAACAAUUAAAUUGAUUUUUAACGUCCAAGGCCAGAGCAUUGAAUAAGGCAGAGUUAGUCCUGAGAUAAAACUCUCGAUAUGUUGUUUGAUGAGAGCCGGGAUACAGUUCUAUUCCGGGUCACAUUAUCCCCAGUUUUUUGUACUCUACUUACGAAGAGAGAUUUAUGCCUGUGUGUAAUGCUUCUCAAUUGGGGGGUAGUAGAGUGUCUAUAUGUAAGACUACAAUGUAGAAUUUCUUGCGGGUCAUCAACAAUUUUUGAAUGCAUUGAUAUUGUUUAGAUAA